UACGUAGGGGGCAAGCGUUGUCCGGAAUCAUUGGGCGUAAAGAGCGUGUAGGCGGCCAGAUAAGUCCGCUGUGAAAUCUCGAGGCUCAACUUCGAGCUGUCGGUGGAAACUGUCUGGCUAGAGUCCGGAAGAGGAGAAUGGAAUUCCUGGUGUAGCGGUGAAAUGCGCAGAUAUCAGGAAGAACACCCGUGGCGAAGGCGGAUCUCUGGGACGGUACUGACGCUGAGACGCGAAAGCGUGGGGAGCGAACAGG
rnacentral:rRNA from 1 species